CGCAUAACAUCAUUUCAAUGCAUGUUGAAAUGAUUAAAGGAGUAAUCCGCUUUGAGAUGGACCCGCGGCGCAUUAGCUAGUUGGUGAGGUAACGGCUCACCAAGGCGACGAUGCGUAGCCGACCUGAGAGGGUGAUCGGCCACAUUGGGACUGAGACACGGCCCAGACUCCUACGGGAGGCAGCAGUGGGGAAUAUUGCGCAAUGGGGGAAACCCUGACGCAGCAACGCCGCGUGAGUGAUGACGGUCUUCGGAUUGUAAAGCUCUGUUUUCAGGGACGAUAAUGACGGUACCUGAGGAGGAAGCCACGGCUAACUACGUGCCAGCAGCCGCGGUAAUACGUAGGUGGCGAGCGUUGUCCGGAUUUAUUGGGCGUAAAGCAUGCGUAGGCGGAUACUUAAGUGGGAUGUGAAAUCCCGGGGCUCAACCCCGGUGCUGCAUUCCAAACUGGGUAUCUAGAGUACAGGAGAGGAAAGCGGAAUUCCUAGUGUAG
rnacentral:rRNA from 1 species